rnacentral:tRNA from 1 species
GCCGGGGUGGUGGAAUUGGUAGACACGCCAGACUCAAAAUCUGGUUCCCGCAAGGGAGUGCCGGUUCAAGUCCGGCCCUCGGUACCA